CAAGUGUCCCCUCUUACUGCAUCCCUCUGUCCCUCCACAGCGUGAAACUUUACAGCAUUUGUCUAUAGAUGCAAUUUCGUAAACGUUAGCAGAAAUGUGCUCGCACACACGCAUUACACAAUAGGUGCCUAUAUGGCCAAGCUAUAUCGACGAAUGGAAUAGUUAGGCCGAGCCGUUGUGUCCUGAAGUUCGUAAAUACGACAGAAAUAAUAUGGACGUACUACACAAGUGAACCUACAAAAAUUGAGUGUAAGGCAGACAAAAAACUGUACCUCAGCUUGCUUUCCAUUGAAUUCCAACGAUCUUAUUACUACAAGAUGAAAAAGAUGUGCUACUCGCUAGUCGGCAGGUUUCAUCCCAAGCACAAUGACGUCAUGAUAAUUCACUCUCCAGGUAGCACUUUUAAGCAAACAGAAAGUAUUGAAUAUCUGGAUGGAAUGCUUGCCUGCGCAGUCGUGAAGGUGACAAUGCCUGGCUCAAGUGAGUUGCGAUGUGUCGAUGCUUUCAUUAAUGCUGAAAUGUAAUUCGUGGAAAGACAGGCCGUAAGCUUGCAAAAGAGGAGAAACAAGGAAGACAAGAAGAACGGCAACAC